GCCUGUGGCGGCUCAGCCGGCAAGGAACAAUGUUUGAGACGAUCCGCUGCAAAGCAAAAGCGCGUUAGCUUCUAAACAACGCUUAACGACAGUCCAGCAUGUUAGCUGAGUUCAGCUCUGACUCAAACAGGGUGUGAGCCUCUGGAGAACCCUGCUACUAUGUUUCACUCUUUCAUCACGAUUUGUUAAUUCAGGUAAACAAGAUAAUAGGCCACAUAAUUUUAAUAUUACCGUUAACCCCUCCUUUAAGUACCUUAAUACUUUACUCCAGCUCAUUACAGUAACUAGGAUGUGUAACUUUGCUUUCAUAGAUAAUACUCAAGGGAGGACUGUACGUAUUUUUUCUAAUUAUUCUUAUUUGGUCACGCUCCUUUGGGCAUUUCCUUCUUUCCUCAUCAUCUUCCAACCACAGUCUAGCCUUUGAUUGCAUGGCUGGACUGAGCUGUAUCACAUCUGCUAAUCAGUCUGUUGAGGUAUCUUCUCUCCCACGGCAAUAAAUGCAGUUCCUCCCACAGAGCAGGCCCUUGUUCCUCACUCUUCUCCUGCUUCUGUUCUGUCUUCUCAGUACUUUCGCUACACGGGCUUUUCCUGAUGAGACGUUGAGUGAGACACCACAGCAGUGCAGCUGGAUGAAGACCUUGUCUCCAUAGCCAGGAGCGGCACACACAGUCAUGCCCUCUGGAGACCAGGCUCCCAAUUUUCUCCACUCACACAGAACUUCGGACCUAAGGCAAUCAUGGGAGUGUCACACCCGAGAUGUAGAACUUCACUGCAAGAAAAGUAUUAAAACAACAAAAAAGGAAAAGGAUUGAGGAAUUUUUUUAAAGCUGCAAGGGCUUUAUGUGGCAUUUUGGCUCACUGGAACCAUGCCUGUUGGAGGCUCUAGGUUUUUUCUGAUGGUGCUAUGGCAUUUCAGCAUGUUCUUUGCUCUUGCCCAUUUACCUGAGCUAGCUAUAGUAAUAGCAAUUUGCCACAAUUUACAUCAUGUUUGCACAGACAGGUAAACACAGUGGGAAUAAGAAUAAGGGUUAUUCUCCAGACAACUCAAGGCUGACCGCUGAGGUCCCCAGGGUUGUUAUUCCCAAUACACAGCUUUUACUUUCUGAAAGUCACUUAAUUGUUUUUGAUAAAACCAAGGAGAACUGUAGGUACAGUACCCUUUAGUGUUUAAAUAACCAUUAGGAAAAUGUUCUGAAUGGAACAAAAUGGCAUUUGCAGUGAGGGUUUGAAGUGAGUCACUACCUAAAAUGUCUGUAAUGGCUUGGAGAUGAUCCAUGAUAUGUGAGAAAAAGAAAAGACUAGAAGUACAGAUUUAUCUUGUUCUGAUGCCCAUUCUUCAAAAGAAUUAGAAUACAGCUAUAAACCCAUUAAAAAAUAGUUUCUCUACCUUCCUCAGAAGAAAGCUUUUCUGCAAUAAGACUUCAAUGGAUUAUGUCUAACAUCCUUAGGGAGAAAAGAAGUUGGAAAGGAGUCAGACACAUCACUCUUAGCUCUGGCUGACUAUCUAGAAAAAAAAAUGGAAUUCAAAGUGGCGUGAGGCACUACCACUGUCUGUAGUCUUUGCAAAUUUUCUCCUCUAUUGCAGAAACUGUUGCUCUUUCUGGUUGCUGCGAAAAAGCAAGUCCAGCUAGAGCAGAGGGGAAGCUGGUGGGUGGAUGGACUGACUGACAAAGAGGAAACACUGCGAAGCCAAGCCUACCCAGCACUGUGCAAACACACGCAUUCACAAAGUCCUGCAAGUAGCCUGGCGUGCUCUCAUCAGUCCUAUGGUGUGUUACUGCACAUCUUGUGAUGUCUCCACAGAAGCACAAGUUUCACAUUCAGAGCAUCUGCUUUACUAUGGUUAUAUUCCCGUCUUCUGUAUUUCUAGCUUUCCGUCACUACAUAAAACUCUGCACAAAGUGCUAUACUUUCCCGAUCUGCUUUUUCUAAAUGCAAUAUUUGAAAUCUUAAGCCUAUUAAAAGCACCAAGACUAAUGCUGCUUUGUUCUUCAGCUUCCUGUUUAAAAAAACAGUCAACAGGAAAAUUAUUUCUUACAGCAGACCACAACCAUCCUGUUUCUUAACGCAGUCUUUUCACAGCUGUGGUUGUCUCUAGUGUAACUGUGCCAUUAGGCUAUUUCACCAAGCUUUUAACUCCUUCAACUGAUUAAAAAGACAAAUUCUCCUCUCUGCAGUGCUUUGAUACGAGGCCAAAGCAGUCUGAAUAAUGUACACUGAAUCUCCUCGGCACUCCAUGUGCCACAGGAAAGUUUCUGGAGCAGGCAGAAUAAAGUUUGGUUUGACAUCAGUCUUUUAAAUUAAUUCCUUAAGGCAGCUCAGACCUGAAUGCAGCAAGUGAGCCAGCUGGUUUAUAAAGUGCUUUCGCUAAAAAGCAGUAUUUUUGCAAAUUAUCUGUCAGUUAAGUGAUUGCUUUCUGCAUGCUUGUGCUGGUCAGUUCUACUUUUUUUACUUUUAACUGAGUUGCUUUAGAUCAGCUUCUUAAGGAACAAGUGGGAACAAAAGGGAAGCGAGGUAGUGCUUGAGGCCUGAAUUCUCUAAGGGGAAGCCACUUCCACAGCCUCUCCAAAACCCUCCCUGCAUACAUUAUUUGCAAGUAGAUAAGAAGGAGAAAGGCACUGAGUGUCCCCUCUUUCCCUACCCCAUCUUCUGGAGGGAUGACAUCCUCUGAUGAAUCACCAGCUGCACACUAGCUAGUACCUGGUAAUGAAGGGCUUUCUCAACAGGACAGG